rnacentral:rRNA from 1 species
AUUGAACGCUGGCGGCAGGCCUAACACAUGCAAGUCGAACGGUAACAGGAAGAAGCUUGCUUCUUUGCUGACGAGUGUCGGACGGGUGAGUAAUGUCUGGGAAACUGCCUGAUGGAGGGGGAUAACUACUGGAAACGGUAGCUAAUACCGCAUAACGUCGCAAGACCAAAGAGGGGGACCUUCGGGCCUCUUGCCAUCGGAUGUGCCCAGAUGGGAUUAGCUAGUAGGUGGGGUAACGGCUCACCUAGGCGACGAUCCCUAGCUGGUCUGAGAGGAUGACCAGCCACACUGGAACUGAGACACGGUCCAGACUCCUACGGGAGGCAGCAGUGGGGAAUAUUGCACAAUGGGCGCAAGCCUGAUGCAGCCAUGCCGCGUGUAUGAAGAAGGCCUUCGGGUUGUAAAGUACUUUCAGCGGGGAGGAAGGGAGUAAAGUUAAUACCUUGGCUCAUUGACGUUACCCGCAGAAGAAGCACCGGCUAACUCCGUG